rnacentral:rRNA from 1 species
UACGAAGGGGGCUAGCGUUGUUCGGAAUCACUGGGCGUAAAGGGCGCGUAGGCGGCCGUUCAAGUCGGGGGUGAAAGCCUGUGGCUCAACCACAGAAUUGCCUUCGAUACUGGACGGCUCGAGACCGGAAGAGGUCAGUGGAACUGCGAGUGUAGAGGUGAAAUUCGUAGAUAUUCGCAAGAACACCAGUGGCGAAGGCGGCUCACUGGCCCGAUACUGACGCUGAGGUGCGAAAGCGUGGGGAGCAAACAGGG